AGGGCACAUGGCGGAUGCCUUGGCUCUCGGAGGCGAUGAAGGACGUGAUAAGCUGCGAUAAGCUGCGGGUAGGUGCAAAUGACCUUUGAUCCGCGGAUUUCCGAAUGGGACAACCCGAUACUUUGAAGAAGUAUCAUCCUGCAUUGCAGGAGGCUAACGCAGGGAACUGAAACAUCUUAGUACCUGCAGGAAAAGAAAAUAAACAAUGAUUCCCCCAGUAGUGGCGAGCGAACGGGGAACAGCCCAAACCAUCCAUGUUACGGCAUGGGUGGGGUUGUAGGACCACGCCGUGGCAAGAAAGUUGGUGAGCAGAAUGUUCUGGAAAGUACAGCCAUAGAGCAUGACAGCUGCGUAUGCGAAGCCAAGCGAAGCCUAGUGGUAUCCUGAGUAGCGCGGAGCACGAGGAAUUCUGCGUGAAUCUGCCGGGACCAUCCGGUAAGGCUAAAUACUCCCGAGAGACCGAUAGUGAACCAGUACUGUGAAGGAAAGGUGAAAAGCACUUCGAACAGAAGAGUGAAAUAGUUCCUGAAACCAUGUGCCUACAAGCGGUCGGAGCACCUUCUGGUGUGACGGCGUGCCUUUUGCAUAAUGAACCUACGAGUUACUUUUUCCGGCGAGGUUAAGGAUUUCAGAUCUGCAGCCGAAGCGAAAGCGAGUCUGAACAGGGCGUAUAGUCGGAAGGAGUAGACGCGAAACCAAGUGAUCUACCCUUGGGCAGGUUGAAGGAUGGGUAACACCAUCUGGAGGACCGAACCAAUAAGCGUUGAAAAGCUUCUGGAUGACCUGAGGGUGGGGGUGAAAGGCUAAUCAAACUUGGAGAUAGCUCGUACUCCCCGAAAUGCAUUUAGGUGCAGCCUUGACUUAUACUGGCAUGAGGUAGAGCGACUGAUAAGAUGCGAGGGCUUCACCGCCUAUCAAGUCUUGACAAACUCCGAAUGCGUGUCAGUUCUAUGUCAGGAGUGAGGGCAUGGGUGCUAAGGUCCAUGUCCUAAAGGAGAACAAUCCGGACCAACAGCUAAGGUCCCGAAAUGAAUACUAAGUUGAACUAACGAAGUCAGAUUGCUAAGACAGCUAGGAUGUUGGCUUGGAAGCAGCCAUUCAUUUAAAGAGUGCGUAACAGCUCACUAGUCGAGGAGUUUGGCGUGGAUAAUAAUCGGGCAUAAGUAUUCUACCGAAGCUUUGGGAUGAGAAAUCAUCGGUAGGGGAGCAUUCCACUCGGCGUCGAAGGUGAGGCGUGAGCCUUGCUGGAGCGUGUGGAAAAGCAAAUGUAGGUAUAAGUAACGAUAAGGCAGGCGAGAAACCUGCCCGCCGAAAGACUAAGGUUUCCUGAUCAACGCUAAUCGGAUCAGGGUAAGUCGGGUCCUAAGGCUCAGCCGAACGGCGAGGCCGAUGGCAGAACCGGUUAAUAUUCCGGUACUACCUGUGGGAGUGACGUGGAGACGGAGUCGUGACAGCGCCGCGGACUGACGGAAUAGUCCGUUGAAGGGUGUAGAUGCUGAUUGUUCCAGGCAAAUCCGGAGCAAGAGUCGAACCUGACAGUAUGGAGCGUUCUUAGAACAAUCCAAUAGUGCGUGUAAUCAUACUUCCAAGAAAAUCCGCUAAACUUAAUCCUGCAGGUACCCGUACCGCAAACGGACACACGUAGUCGGGUUGAAUAUACUAAGGCGCUUGAGUGAUUCACGGUUAAGGAACUAGGCAAACUGACCCUGUAACUUCGGGAUAAAGGGUCCUCGCUUUACGGCGAGGCGCAGAGAAUAGGUCCAGGCAACUGUUUAACAAAAACACAGGGCUGUGCAAAAUUGAAAGAUGAAGUAUACAGCCUGACACCUGCCCGGUGCUGGAAGGUUAAGAGGAGAUGUCAUCGCAAGAGAAGCAUUGAAUUGAAGCCCCAGUAAACGGCGGCCGUAACUAUAACGGUCCUAAGGUAGCGAAAUUCCUUGUCGGGUAAGUUCCGACCUGCACGAAUGGUGUAAUGAUCUGGACGCUGUCUCAACCGUGAGCUCAGUGAAAUUGUAGUAUCGGUGAAGAUGCCGAUUACCCGCGAUGGGACGAAAAGACCCCGUGAACCUUUACUAUAGCUUAACAUUGAAUUUGGGUAAUUGAUGUGUAGGAUAGGCCGGAG
rnacentral:rRNA from 1 species